UUUUAUUGAUAUAUAAUUGAGAUAUAACAGUGCAUAAGAUAUUUUUAAAGAUUUUAUUUAUCUGUUGCAGAGAGAGUGUGUGUACUAGUGGAGGGGAGGGGGUAAAGGGACAAGCAGACUCUCCACUGAGCUCAGUUCCAGGACCUUGAGAUCGUAACCUGAGCAGAAGGCAAAUGCUUAAUUAAUUAAUUAAUUGAUUAAUGUGUAUGCCAUAAUGAUUUGAUUAAGGUACAUAUUGUGAAUCAUCACCAGAGUAAAUUUAGUUAAGAUCCAUCACCUCACACAGUUACAGAAUAUUUCCUCCUGUAAUAAGAACGUUUAAGAUUUCCUAUAACAUUAUCAAUAACACCAUUUUGAAUAAUCCCCAAACCAUGAAAGAUACCAAACUAAAAACCAUAAGUUUCAUGGCAAUCAAUAAAAAGGGAAAAACCUAUGAUUUUAGAUGAUAGAAAAUAAACAUUUGACUUGUAAAGAAAAAGAACCCCUCCAAAAUGAAUGAAAGUAUAGAGGAUUAGUCAAAAUAAAAGCUAUAAUAAAAGGGAUCCCUGGGUGGCGCAGCGGUUUAACGCCUGCCUUUGGGCCAGGGCGCGAUCUUGGAGACCGCGGAUCGAAUCCUAUGUCGGGCUCCCGGUACAUGGAGCCUACUUCUCCCUCUGCCUAUGUCUCUGCCCCCCCCCCCCCUCUCUCUCUCUGUGACUAUCACAAAAAAAAAAAAAAAAAAAAAAAAAAGCUAUAAUAAAAGAAAUGGAGAAGGAAACCAGAAGAGUGGAUUAAUAUAAAACCAAAAGCUGGUUAUUAGAAAGAGUCAACUCAUAGAUUAAGGAAAAAAUAUUUAAAUCUGUUAGGAAUGAGACAGAAAACAGAAACAGAUCUAGAAGAAAGUAAAAAAGAUUACAAAAGAGAUUUCAAGUUCUAUUACAAUGCAUUAGACAGCUACAGAAAUUGAUGGUUUUUUUUGAUAAAACAUAAAGGAUCAUUUAAAAGUCAAACAUACCAAUUACUGAGGAAAUUGGAAAUUUGCCAUUAAGAAGGACUAGGCUCAGGACGCCUGGGUGGCUCAGCGGUUGAGUGCCUGCUUUUGGCCUAGGGCCUAGGGCGUAGUCCUGGGGUCCUGGGAUGGAGUCCCACAUCGGGCUCCCUGCAUGGAGCCUGCUUCUCUCUCUCUCUCUGUCUCUGUCUCUCUGUCUCUCUGUCUCUCUCAUGAAUAAAUAAAAUCUUAAAAAAGAAGAAGAAAAAGAAAGACUAGGCUCUUGGCUGUGAUAUAGGGGAAAAAUUCAUCCUGAGUCAAGCCAGAACUAAUUUUCCAAACUCCAGUGAAAAACUAUAGUCUUUCUAGCAACAGCAUGGUGAGUAGAUUGGGCAAGGUUUAAUAAAAGCGGAAAUAGAUAUAUUUUACUUAUUUCUCAACAUCCAUCACAGCACAAGCUCCCUUUACAAAGGAUAGUAGAAAAAAGGAGAAAGUAGAAAAUAGGAUGUGAAGAGAAAGGAUAAAGUAUCCCUUUGACAGAUACUUUAUGGUCUUACACUUCUUAUCUAAAAGAAUUAACCUCUACUUAGCACAUCCACAGAAAAACCAAAUUUAUUUAAAAUCUAAAAUAAGUUUCCGGGUGCACCUGGGUGGCUCAGUUGGUUAAGCAUCUGCCUUCAGUUCAGGUCAUGAUCUCAGGGUCCUAGGAUCGUGCCCUGUGUCAAACCCUGCAUUGGGCUCCCUGCUCACUGGGGAGUCUGCUUCUCCCUCUCCCCCUUGCUCAUGCUCUCUCUCUCAAAAUGAAUAAGAUCUUUUAAAAAAUGCUAAAAUAAUGCUGAGAUAAAGAAAACCGUUUUAUACUUUCCGGAUCUCAGCAGCCUGUCAUUCACUUUGUUCUAGCAAAGACAAGCACUAAGUGACUCCUGUAAUGAUGCUGUUAAAUUUCCUUAUACUUGUACUCUACC
rnacentral:lncRNA from 1 species